CAGAUAAUCAGUUGUUAGGUUGCUGCCCCUGAAUUGGUAAUUUUGAGGAAAUUUUGCUGUUUUUUUGUUAUUAUCUUGAAUAUUAUUAUAGAUAGAGAUAAACUGUUAACAGCAAUAAUGUACAGCAAAGUAAGAACUAAAAAUAAGUCAGUAUGACCAAAUAGUCAAUUGACCCCACUAAGGAGUUAUUGCCCUUCAUAGUCAAUUUUUAACAAUUUUCUUAAAAUUUGAAGAUUUUCAAUAACAUUUUCCACAGAAAGUACUGUUAUAGAUAGAGAUAAUUGUAAGCAACAAGAAUGUUUAGUAAAGUAAGAUCUACAAACACAUCAUCAUCACCAAAACACAAUUUUGUCAUGAAUCCAUCUGUGUCCAUUGUUUAAUAUUCACAUAGACCAAGGUGAGCGACACAGGCUCUUUAGAGCCUCUAGUUUUAAUAAUACACAUUUUCUCAGAAAUGAAGUCUGCAGAUGAUUUAAUGCAGUUACACU
rnacentral:lncRNA from 1 species